rnacentral:rRNA from 1 species
CAAGCACGCAGCCCGUCCCAUAGGCAAAUCCGUGGGACGCAUAGGGUGAGGUGUGAUGAUGGGCGUCUUUUAUGGCGCGAUAUCCGGUGGUCCAGGCCGUCGAGAAAAGCCUCGGCGCGAGGGGCGUCGCCGCCCGUACCCCAAACCGACACUGGUGGUCAGGUAGAGAAUACCAAGGCGAUCGAGCGAAUCCUGGUCAAGGAACUCGGCAAAUCACUCCCGUGCCUUCGGUAUAAGGGAGACCCCCGGGCGUGAAGAGGCUUGCCCUCGGAGCGUUGGGGGGUGGCACAGACCAGGGGGUAGCGACUGUUUACCAAAAACACAGGUGCAUGCGAAGGCGCAAGCCGCUGUAUAUGCACUGACGCCUGCCCGGUGCCGGAAGGUUAAGAGGAUCCGUCAGCCCCUUUUGGGGUGAAGCGGUGAAUUCAAGCCCCGGUAAACGGCGGUGGUAACUAUAACCAUCCUAAGGUAGCGAAAUUCCUUGUCGGGUAAGUUCCGACCUGCACGAAUGGCGUAACGACUUCCCCACUGUCUCGACCAGGAGCUCGGCGAAAUUGCAGUACGAGUAAAGAUGCUCGUUAAGCGCAGAAGGACGAAAAGACCCCGGGACCUUUACUAUACCUUGGUAUUGGCGUUAGGCGCGGAUUGUGUAGCAUAGGCGGGAGGCUUCGAAGCGCGGGCGCCAGCCCGUGUGGAGCCGCAAGGUGAAAUACCGCUCUGUUCUCGUUUGACGUCUCACCUCGAACAGUCAUCCUGUUCAGGGACAGUGCCUGGCGGGUAGUUUAACUGGGGCGGUUGCCUCCCAAAGAGUAACGGAGGCGCUCAAAGGUCCGCUCAGCCCGGUUGGCAAUCGGGUUUCGAGUGUAAUCGCACAAGCGGGCUUGACUGCGAGAACGACGGUUCGGGCAGGGACGAAAGUCGGAGAUAGUGAUCCGGUGCCGGCGCACGGGCGCGGCAUCGCUCAACGGAUAAAAGGUACCCCGGGGAUAACAGGCUGAUCAUUCCCAAGAGUCCAUAUCGACGGGAUGGUUUGGCACCUCGAUGUCGGCUCGUCGCAUCCUGGGGCUGGAGCAGGNNNNNNNNNNNNNNNNNNNNNNNNNNNNNNGGCACGCGAGCUGGGUUCAGAACGUCGUGAGACAGUUUGGUCUCUAUCCUCUGCGCUCGUUGGAAUCCUGAGGAGGCCUGCCCAUAGUACGAGAGGACCUGGGUGGACGGACCUCUGGUAUGCCGGUUGUCGCGCCAGCGGCAUGGCCGGUUGGCUACGUUCGGGAGGGAUAACCGCUGAAAGCAUCUAAGCGGGAAGCCUGCUCCAAGAUUAGGAUUCCUUGACGCUCCCCGGAGCGUUUGUAGCCCGCAUG